UACGAGGGGGGCAAGCGUUGUUCGGAAUUAUUGGGCGUAAAGGGUGCGUAGGCGGUGCGGUAAGUCUGUUGUGAAAUCUCCGGGCUCAACUCGGAGUCUGCAUCAGAAACUGCCGUGCUGGAGUGUGGGAGAGGUGAGUGGAAUUCCCGGUGUAGCGGUGAAAUGCAUAGAUAUUGUCAAGAACACCAAUUGCGAAGGCAGCUUACUAAAUUAUAACUGACGCUGAGGCACGAAAGUGUGGGUAUCAAACAGG
rnacentral:rRNA from 1 species